rnacentral:rRNA from 1 species
UAGGGAAUCUUCCGCAAUGGGCGAAAGCCUGACGGAGCAACGCCGCGUGAGUGAUGAAGGUCUUCGGAUCGUAAAACUCUGUUAUUAGGGAAGAACAAAUGUGUAAGUAACUAUGCACGUCUUGACGGUACCUAAUCAGAAAGCCACGGCUAACUACGUGCCAGCAGCCGCGGUAAUACGUAGGUGGCAAGCGUUGUCCGGAAUUAUUGGGCGUAAAGCGCGCGUAGGCGGUUUUUUAAGUCUGAUGUGAAAGCCCAUGGCUCAACCGUGGAGGGUCAUUGGAAACUGGAAAACUUGAGUGCAGAAGAGGAAAGUGGAAUUCCAUGUGUAGCGGUGAAAUGCGCAGAGAUAUGGAGGAACACCAGUGGCGAAGGCGACUUUCUGGUCUGUAACUGACGCUGAUGUGCGAAAGCGUGGGGAGCAAACAGG